CCCCUAGACGUUCUGGGCUGCACGCGCGCUACAAUAAUACGCCAAGCGAGUAUCACCGAGCUCGAAAGGGCAAGGUAAACAAUAGAAAAGGUACUGUAAUGGUUAUAGAUCCUUGUAAUUAUUGAUCUUCAACGAGGAAUUCCUAGUAAGUAUGUGUCAUCAUCACGCACUGAUUACGUCCCUGCCCUUUGUACACACCGCCCGUCGCUCCUACCGAUUGGGUGAGCCGAUGAAACUCUCGGAUGUAGGCUAUUCAUAGCCCGCAGAAGAGAUUUGAAUCGUAGCGCUUAGAGGAAGGAGAAGUCGUAACA
rnacentral:rRNA from 1 species